rnacentral:rRNA from 1 species
GGCAACCCUGACGGAGCAACGCCGCGUGCGGGAGGACGGCCUGUGGGUUGUAAACCGCUUUUCUCAGGGAAGAAGCUCUGACGGUACCUGAGGAAUCAGCAUCGGCUAACUCCGUGCCAGCAGCCGCGGUAAUACGGAGGAUGCCAGCGUUAUCCGGAAUUAUUGGGCGUAAAGCGUCCGCAGGUGGCGAUUCAAGUCUGCUGUCAAAGCACGGGGCUUAACUCCGUUAAGGCAGUGGAAACUGAAUGGCUAGAGUGCCGUAGGGGUAGAGGGAAUUCCCGGUGUAGCGGUGAAAUGCGUAGAGAUUGGGAAGAACACCGGUGGCGAAAGCGCUCUACUGGACCACACCUGACACUCAGAGGACGAAAGCUAGGGGAGCG